rnacentral:rRNA from 1 species
GUCUACGGCCAUGCCACCCUGAAGUGCCUGAUCUCGUCUGAUCUCAGAAGCUAAGCAAGGUCGGGCCUGGAUAGUACCUGGAUGGGAGACCACCUUGGAAUACCAAGCGCUGUAGGUG